rnacentral:rRNA from 1 species
UACGUAGGGUGCGAGCGUUGCCCGGAUUUAUUGGGCGUAAAGGGCGCGUAGGCGGCCACGCACGUCCGUUGUGAAAUCGCCCGGCUCAACUGGGCGGGGUCAGCGGAUACGGUGUGGCUAGAGCAAGCUAGGGGGCAAUGGAAUUCCCGGUGUAGUGGUGAAAUGCGUAGAGAUCGGCAGGAACACCCAGGGGGAAACCAGUGGACUGGGCAGGCGCUGACACUCAUGUGCGAAAGCGUGGGGAGCGAACCGG